AUGGACUCCGACAACGAGCCCUGGGGAGGGAGCGACGACGACCCCGUCGCCGUCGGGGACUACUACUACGACUGCAGCGACGGGGGCGGCGGCGGGGGCGGCGAGGAGGACGAGGGAUCCGACUGCGCCGGCGACGACUACGAGGUCCGCGAGGAGGUCGCCUCGAUGCGCGAGAAGAGAUACAUUGUGUUAUCUGAAAAUGACAUACAUGAGCGGCAAGAGGAAGCCAUAAGACGGGUAUCUUCAAUAUUUUCAAUUCCAAGAGAAUCAGCAUGCAUCCUCCUUCGACAUUACAAAUGGAAUAUUAGCAAGUUGAAUGACGAGUGGUUCGCAGAUGAAGAACGUGUCCGUCAUUUUGUUGGCUUGCCUACAAAUGGGGCUGUUCUUCCUGACUGCCAGGAGCUAACUUGUGGAAUAUGUUUUGAAGGAUAUUCCACAAGUGCACUGAGCUCUGCUGGUUGUGUUCACCUCUACUGCCAUGAGUGUUGGGAAGGGUAUAUUAGUGCUUCAAUAAAUGAUGGUCCAGGAUGUUUGUCACUGCGGUGCCCUGAGCCAUCUUGUACUGCCAUGGUUCUCGAAGAAACCAUUAAUAGAUUGGCUAAAGAUGAGGAGAAAGUGAAGUACAAACAAUUUUUAUCAUGCUCAUAUGUUGAAGACAACAAGAAGAUAAAGUGGUGUCCAGCUCCUGAUUGUACCCGUGCAGUGGAGUUUCUUGGUGAUGAGAACUAUGAUGUCUCAUGCAUGUGCAAAUUCAGCUUCUGCUGGAACUGUACAGAGGAAACUCAUCGACCAGUUAGCUGUGAGACUGUCUCAAAGUGGAUAUUAAAGAACAGUGCAGAAUCCGAGAAUGUGAAUUGGAUAAUAGCUAAUUCAAAGCCCUGUCCUAAAUGCAAACGACCAAUAGAGAAGAAUCAUGGUUGCAUGCAUAUGACGUGCCGUCCUCCUUGCAAAUUUCAGUUUUGCUGGUUAUGUCUAGGUGACUGGUCAGAACACGGAAGUAGGACCACUGGUGGCAAUUAUGCUUGCAAUCGCUAUGAAGCAGACAAGAAGAAAGGCAUAUAUGAUGAAGCUGAAGCACAGAGAGAACGGGCUAAAAACUCACUUGUGAGAUACACGCAUUAUUUUGAGCGCUGGGCAUCCAAUCAGAAGUCGAGGCAGAAGGCACAAGGAGAUCUGCAAAAGUUCGAAAGUGAACUUGCGAAGCUCAGUGACAUUCUUGGAAUACCAGAGUCUCAACUAAAGUUCAUACCUGAAGCUUGGUCACAGAUUGUAGAAUGCAGACAAGUGCUGCAAUGGACAUAUGCUUAUGGGUAUUAUCUCGAUGAUAAAGCCAAGAAUGAUUUUUUUGUGUACCUCCAAGGUGAAGCUGAGUCUGGUUUGGAGCGCCUCCAUAAAUGUGCGGAGAAGGACAUACAUGCAAUUUUACCUAAAGCUGGUGAAACUGAACCUCUUCCUUCAUUACAAGACUUCAAUGAAUUUCGUGUGAAACUUGCUGGUCUAACAAGCGUAACUCGCAACUACUUUGAGAACCUUGUUCAAGCACUGGAAGCAGGGCUGGAGGACGUGCGUGUUACGGGCGGCCAGUCGACUUCGAAGAAGAAAGCCCGCACCGCCUCCAAGAGGAAACCAUCGGCCAAAGGCAAGUCAGGCAGGAAUAAGAAGGCGAGAAUAACCAUCUCUUAA
rnacentral:rRNA from 1 species